CCAAUUUGAAUUUUUUUUCAGUAUUUGAUAGCCCAUUUAUCAAGGAAGGCUAGGGCUAUAGGCUAUAUAUUAUCACGCAAAGACCAAUAAGAGUGGACCACCAAUGAAGAAUGUUUCAAAAUCGGAUUUUUUCCUUUUGAGACCUUCCCCAGCUAGCCCAAAGUAACUAUUUCACGUGGACAAAGUUGCGGGUACAAGCUAGUAGAAAAUAAAAUUCAGAUAAUUUAAGUAUGCUGAAUACAGCUUUCUCCCUUUGCCCUCUACUUCGCAGCCACCACAAGGACUUACUUUUGAAAAAACACUAGUUUCCCAGAAUGAAUCAGUAGAAAAUGUUAAAGUUCCUGUUCGCAACUAUGAAAGAAUUGUGGGAAAACCUAAUAGAAAUAGAGAUUCUACAUUAAC